CAGCAGCCGCGGUAAUACGUAUGUGGCAAGCGUUAUCCGGAUUUACUGGGUGUAAGGGGAGCGUAGACGGUAAUACAAGUCUGGAGUGAAAGGCAUGGGCUCAACCUGUGGACUGCUCUGGAAACUGUAUAACUAGAGUACCGGAGGGGUAAGCGGAAUUCCUGGUGUAGCGGUGAAAUGCGUAGAUAUCAGGAGGAACACCGGUGGCGAAGGCGGCUUACUGGACGGAAACUGACGUUGAGGCUCGAAAGCGUGGGGAGCAAACAGGAUUAGAUACCCUGGUAGUCCACGCCCUAAACGAUGAAUGCUAGGUGUUGGCAGCUAUGAGCUGUCGGUGCCGCCGCUAACGCAUUAAGCAUUCCACCUGGGGAGUACGUUCGCAAGAAUAAAACUCAAAGAAAUUGACGG
rnacentral:rRNA from 1 species